rnacentral:rRNA from 1 species
UACGGAGGAUGCAAGCGUUAUCCGGAAUGAUUGGGCGUAAAGGGUCCGCAGGUGGCAAUGUGUGUCUGCUGUCAAAGAAUGAGGCUUAACCUCAUCAAGGCAGUGGAAACUACAUAGCUAGAGUACGGUCGGGGUAGAAGGAAUUCCUGGUGUAGCGGUGAAAUGCGUAGAGAUCAGGAGGAACACCGGUGGCGAAAGCGUUCUGCUAGACCUGUACUGACACUGAGGGACGAAAGCUAGGGGAGCGAAUGGG